CCGCCCCUGUGUGUGGGAGAUGCGGGACCUCCGUCAGCGGGCGGUUUGCGAACGCCUCCUCCAGGUCUGUGAUUGUCUUUUCACCGCGUCCUCAGCGUCAGCGGCCGCACGGGAGUUUUUAACUUAGAUCCAUAACCAGAAGUGGCGUUGCUAGACUGCACGGUAAUUCUAACGCAAUGAGUUAUUAACUAGUUCUUAACGGUGGUGUCUGGACCGGAUGCUAGAAGAUUACAUUGAAAAGAUGACGGAGAAGUACUUAGACAGCGACACCACUAGGCCCGCGGAGAAGGUAGUAGCUGCGACUGGAUCCUCAGCGUCUCCGGGGGACCGUGUGCUGCAGGCCUGUUCCUCAGACCGCUGCUGUCAGGAGCCGUGGGGCGAGUGGUGUUGCUCCCCACCAGCUCCGUGACGCGCUGCCGCACCCCCAUUCAUGGACCUCAAGCCUCCAAAACUGUGAGCCCGAGUAAACCUUCCUCUUCACUGGCUCAUAAUCCUGUGCGUUGUAGUCACAGAACGACUGACGGGGAGUCAGGGAAUCAGCUCACCCCUCCACUCACCAGCGGGCGCAGGCCCCCUCCCUGCCCCAGCCCUUAGGUCCACCCCACGUUGCCCCAGCUGUGCUGCUGUCUGCCUACCCCAGGCUGCGGAGAAGGAGGGAGUCCUCUCUUCAGCCAGGACGGCUGCUCGGUACCCGCAGACGUCCCCUCACACCCAGCCAGCGGGACACCUUCCGCUUCCCGGCUUUCGGCACCUUUGGCCUGAGCCGGGUGAACGCACCCUUUGCGGGUUGUUUGUGGGGCUGUCGUGUGAAGAG